CUCUUUGUGCACCCGCCCACACGGUUUGCCGUGUUUUCACCCUUCUUUGCUCUCCACCGGUCUGGGCAGGGUCUGAGGACUCCGGAGAGCAAGGCAUGGGUCCGCCUCGUGCCGCAGGUUCCUGGCCCACGCCAGCCGUACCCAGUAGCACAAUGGGAUUUGAGGACACACGCCAGCUGCCUACACCUGAAGAAAGGGUGAGCUCUGAGGACUUCACAGGGGCCCCAUCCCCUCACCUAGAUGAGGGCUAACCUUGGAAUCCAGACAAAGGUGGAAGUGACCAAGAUGUGACCUGAAUGAGCUAAUCGUCUAAUGAGAGCCAGCCCUUUGUCCUGCCCGCAUGAAGGGCUUUGCUGCUACGCACUGACAAGUUGGACGGCUUUUUAUUGCUUUGUUGCCAGUUAUCUGAACAUGAGAGGCUGUAAGGUGUAAUCUGCGAGCCCUGCGCCCAGACUGAACCAGGGCCUCCCUUGAACAUGAGUAUUAGACAAUGAAAUAAGAACUUAUCUUGCCCAGACUAUAUAAUGGCUUGGAAAUGCAUAGUUUCCUGAACGAUCUCAAUAAAAUACUUUUAAAAG
ensembl:processed_transcript 1110038B12Rik RIKEN cDNA 1110038B12 gene